AUUCUCGUUUGAGAAACGUUAUCGAAAUGAGUACGCUUUACACACGCUAACGAGUAGCAAUUGGAGGGCAAGUCUGGUGCCAGCAGCCGCGGUAAUUCCAGCUCCAAUAGCGUAUAUUAAAGUUGCUGCGGUUAAAACGCUCGUAGUUGAAUUGUGGUCUUAGACAACAGUCCCCCUACAUAGGUGUGGCACGGUUGCUCGAGAUCUUCAUUCGUGGUUGCUGUUGUUGCUCUUCAUUGAGUGUCAAUGGUGCCUCGAGAUUUUACUUUGAAAAAAUUAGAGUGCUCAAAGCAGGUUGUGAUGCCUGAAUAAUGGUGCAUGGAAUAAUAGAAUACGAUCUCGGUUCUAUUUUGUUGUUUUCGAACCGGAGAUAAUGAUUGAACGGAACAGACGGGGGCAUUCGUAUUGCUGCGUUAGAGGUGAAAUUCUUGGAUCGCAGCAAGAUGAACAAUUGCGAAAGCAUUUGCCAAGAAUGUUUUCAUUAAUCAAGAACGAAAGUCGGAGGUUCGAAGGCGAUCAGAUACCGCCCUAGUUCUAACGGUAAACUAUGCCAACCAGCGAUUCGCCGAAGUUCAUUUAAGACUCGGCGAGCAGCUUCCGGGAAACCAAAGUGUUUCGGUUCCGGGGGAAGUGUUGUUGCAAAGCUGAAACUUAAAGGAAUUGACGGAAGGGCACCACCAGGAGUGGAGCCUGCGGCUUAAUUUGACACAACACGGGAAAACUCACCCGGCCCGGACACUGGAAGGAUUGACAGAUUGACAGCUCUUUCUUGAUUCAGUGGGUAGUGGUGCAUGGCCGUUCUUAGUUGGUGGAGCGAUUUGUCUGGUUAAUUCCGAUAACGAACGAGACUCUACCCUAUUAAAUAGUGACAGUAUUGUAUUUUUUGUGCUGAUCCCUUCUUAGAGGGACCGGCAAAUUGAAAGCUGCACGAAAAAGAGCAAUAACAGGUCUGUGAUGCCCUUCGAUGUCCGGGGCUGCACGCGCGCUACAAUGAAAGCGUCAACGUGAGUUACGUCCUUACCUGAAAAGGUUUGGCAAUCGAAUGAAACGUUUUCUUGAAUGGAAUAGGGAAUUGCAAUUGUUUCCCUUGAACGAGGAAUUCCCAGUAAGCGUGAGUCAUUAGCUCGCGUUGAUUACGUCCCUGCCCUUUGUACACACCGCCCGUCGCUACUACCGAUUGGAUUAUUUAGUGAGGUGUUUUGACUGGCGCCAGUAGUCGGAUGUAUUCGGCUUCGCGCCGGGAAAUUUCCCAAACCAAAUCAUCUAGAGGAAGUAAAAGUCGUAACAAGGUUUCCGUAGGUGAACCUGCGGAAG
rnacentral:rRNA from 1 species